CCCAUGUGCAACUAUUGACCGGGCCCACACCUGGUCGAGUGCCUCUUCAAGUCUUCAUUUCCUCUUCUCUCUCUGUAGGGUUUUCCUCUCUCCUCUCAUCCCCACUGGCGAUUUCUCGCAUUCGCCGCGCAAAUUCUGGAGCUGCAGCGAAGGAAGAUUCGAGGGAGUGAGCGGGGAGCCUAAAUCGGCACCCAGAUGAGCUAAUCCCUACUGCUUGGAGCGCGCUCAAAGCCAUUCAUGCGUCCAAUUUUUAUCAUUUUUCAUUUUGUUUUUGGUGGAGGUUAUAGGUGUGGGCUUCUGGAAUCUGGCGAGGCAUCCAUGGAUUGUUGGGGAGGGGUACUGGAAACUGCAAUCAAACCUGGAUUUGAAUCUGAUCCACAAAGGAAAGGGAUACACACGAUGCCCCCAACAAAGAUGUUGCCUGACAAUGCAACUGAGGGAUGAUUUGGUGAUCGAUUCACCAAAUCAGAGAGGAACUUGAGGCUCGGGCACAGGCAAGGUCAAGAAGUAUCUCGCCAAAACGGACAGGGCCGUGGAUUACGACUUCUAUGACGAUAACGACCUCUGCUUCAAGUCGUCGUUCAACCGCCGCCCAUCGUCCGCCCCUUGGGCUCGAGCAUGCUGUGUUGCUUCACGCUCAUGCUAGUUGGAAGAACGUGGGGAAUCCCAGGAAUAAAAUGAGCUCAUCACCUCUUCUUUAAUUGGAUUGGCACAACAGCAGCAGUGAUUGUUUUGCUGCCGCUCCAGCAGCAAUAGCGCCUGUCAUCAGCUUGGAUAGGCGACCAGAGUAUUGAACAUGAAUCCAGACUGGAAGAAUAAGGCAAAUGCAGAUCCCGAUGGAGCAGGUUCCUACGGGGCGUGGGCACUGCAGAUUCAGACAGAGCAGGUGGCGCUCGCGCUCGGCACGCUCGCGGCCAUGCUCCCUCCUGAGGACCCCGCGCUCGGGGAUGGCGCCAAGGAGGCUGUGGCUGCGAACCGUCCACCACUGCGUUUGACGGGAUCCAGCUAUCCAGUAGGAGAGGAGGAAGAGAGGGGGAUUAAAGCUGUGCGGAUCAUGUAUUGAGUUUCUGCCCCUAUCGUCCAUGGGAAAAUACAGUGAAUUUUUAUGCGUACAAACCUCGGCCAUGAAUGGAAAUACUACACUAUGUAAUUGGAAGAAAAAUAUGAUGUGUUCAUUCAUCUCUAGGAGUAUUUUGUUUUGCAUGUGCAGUUUUCGAAGAUGCAUGGGAUAAAAUGUUGUAAAUAAGUAGGGUUGCAUGUUUGAGGAAGUCAUUGCUAGGAUCUUUAUCAUAGCAUCCUUUCAGCAUGUAGUCAUCUUGAGAUUGUACAUUCCAAAUAGUUAGGGCAGCACAACUGAAAAGUUGCUAGCCUCCGAUCAUGUAGUCCUUGUGCUGAAACUAGGAAACAAAACUCAUAGGUCCCUAAUCUUGCAGUUCUGGGUCAUUUAUUGUAUGAUGAAUCCUAAGCAAUUUCUGAACAAAUUUGGCCCAUACUAUUUUUCUGGUUUUUUGAUAGUCAUGCUUUCUAGCAGUGAAAACUGUGGGCAAAUCAAUAGGUUUUGUAGGUCUGAAAAUUUUGGGGAUUAAAAUUUAGAUGGGUGAAAAUGCAUUUGUAUAUGUUCUAAUUUGCUUAUUGUUUUUCAAAGAUCUACUUAUUGGAGAGUAAAAUUGAGGUCUGCAUAUUUAUUUAGGAUUUUUUUGUUGGGCACGUCAUCCAAAAAUAGAAAGCAGACAAAAACCAAAUUUCAAGAUGAAUACAUGCUGAAAGGAUGCUAUGAUAAUUUACGUUAGCUGGGUUCUAUAAAUAAUUAUAAUUAUUAGCUUAUAAGUUUUAUUUUUAUAUUAAUUUUAAUUAGCCCGGCGAGAAGCGCGUGUUGAGAGGCUAGUUAUCUGAACCAUGGGAAGCGCCUACAGACUACGUUCUGCAUGUUCUGCAUCCUAUGAAUUUCCAAAUAUCAUCAGGAUAAUUUUGUCAUGUGUUUGUUUCAAGCAAUGUUUCACUGUGAUUUGCUAUUACUCACCGUGAUCACCAUGGGAAGCGCCUGACUGCUACUGUACCCUCUUUUUUUUUUUUAGGCAAGACUGCUACUGUACCUAGCCCCACGUCAUACCAUAUUCUCCAAAGAAUCAACGCCGCACACGUCUUUGGCAGAGUAGUCGUCGUCAACGUCAACGGCCAUCUGGCUCCGGCCACACUGGAGGAGCCGACGGAGGACCUCGCUCAUCGGCGGCCUCGACGACGGGUCCUCGCCGGUGCAGGCCACCCCGAGCUCCAACACGGCCACCAUGUCGUCGAGGCAGGCCGGGUCCUGGAUCUCACCGUCGACCAGGUCCCCCGCGCCCGGCUCGCCGCUCUUGUACCGCUUCGACGCCCACUUCGCCAGGCAGCUGCCGGACUCCGUGCCGCCGUCCUGCGCCCCCCGCCCGGUGGCGAGCUCCAGCAGCACGACGCCGAAGCUGUACACGUCCACCUUCUCGCUCACCUUGGCCCUGCUCACGUACUCUGCGAGCCAAAACACACGAACACGUACGGCUCAAGGUCAGACGAGUCGUUAGGAGCUCACGGUUCACACAUGGAAAACUUUUCAAGGUCGUCUUGCCGGCCGGCAAGAUGCUACACCCUUCUAUUUUAAAUUAUUAGUCGUUUUCACUUUUCUUGAUAGGAAAAGCUAUCUGUCACUCAGGUGAUUUGAAGACUUUUCUCACUUGAUUUGCUGUGCAGUCCGAUCUCAUUUUAAUCCAAUCUGCGCCCUUUGUUUGUUUUGGUGCCAUUUAUCUCAGUGAUCUGCGGGCCCAUGUUGUCAGCCUUAUUUUUUUUUGAUCCUUUCGUCUGCCACCUGAUAUUUCUAGCUGCUCUAUCCCCAUUCUUCUUUUCAGUUCCAUUUCGUUUUCUUCUCCCUUGUGAGCUCCGCUCCCUUCCUAGCUCAGCAAGGUGAGGCGAUUUUCAGUUGAUUCAAGCAAAAGGAGUUCGCUGUGACCAAACCAGGGCAAAAUUUGAAGUAUGGGAGGCCUCGAAAAGUUAUUUGCACUUAAGCAGAAUGCUUUUAGGAGGGAUCUUGUUUCCUGUGUCGGCUACAUGCAUUUUCAUGAAGAUGUGAACCAGCAUCCAAGAGUUAUGAAGAUGAUAUGAAGUUUUUGCUAUAUCUUGAAGAAAGAAGCUAGGCCUUUUGCUGUGCAGUCUUUUGGGAGCAAGUUCUAGGUUAUCAGAUCAAGUUCUUUUGUCUUUUGUUUUACUCCUUGUUUAAUAUUGGUUUGUUAUUCUUUUUAAUACAACUUGUAAGGGAUAUUAACCUGUUAAAACUCUAAAUUAUCUUAUCUCAAUGUUCUAUUUAUUUGUUCCUAUAAAGUUUGAUAUUUCAACUUCUAAAGUAUAUUAAGUUGAAGUAUAUUAAGUUGUUAAAACUCUAAAUUUGUUCUUUUAUGAUUAUUCAAACUUAUUAA